UACGUAGGGGGCGAGCGUUGUCCGGAUUUAUUGGGCGUAAAGAGCUCGUAGGCGGUUCCGUAAGUCGAGUGUGAAAAAUCUGGGCUCAACCCAGUGGAGCACUCGAUACUGCGGUGACUGGAGUACGGUAGAGGAGUGUGGAAUUCCUGGUGUAGCGGUGAAAUGCGCAGAUAUCAGGAGGAACACCAACGGCGAAGGCAGCACUCUGGGCCGGUACUGACGCUGAGACGCGAAAGCGUGGGGAGCGAACAGG
rnacentral:rRNA from 1 species